rnacentral:rRNA from 1 species
UACGAAGGGUGCAAACGUUGCUCGGAAUCAUUGGGCGUAAAGAGCGUGUAGGCGGCCCGAUAAGUCCGCUGUGAAAGUCCAGGGCUCAACCCUGGGAUGCCGGUGGAUACUGUCGGGCUCGAGUCCGGAAGAGGAGUGUGGAAUUCCUGGUGUAGCGGUGAAAUGCGCAGAUAUCAGGAGGAACACCAAUGGCGAAGGCAGCACUCUGGGACGUGACUGACGCUGAGACGCGAAAGCGUGGGGAGUAAACAGG